rnacentral:rRNA from 1 species
CUACGGGAUGCUGCAGUGAGGAAUAUUGCGCAAUGGACGAAAGUCUGACGCAGCCAUGCCGCGUGGAGGAUGACACUUUUCGGAGCGUAAACUCCUUUUAUAUAGGAAGAAGAUGACGGUACUAUAUGAAUAAGCGCCGGCUAACUCCGUGCCAGCAGCCGCGGUAAUACGGAGGGCGCAAGCGUUACUCGGAAUCACUGGGCGUAAAGAGCGUGUAGGCGGAUUAAAAAGUCAGAAGUGAAAUCCUAUAGCUUAACUAUAGAACUGCUUCUGAAACUCUUAAUCUAGAAUAUGGGAGAGGUAGAUGGAAUUUCUGGUGUAGGGGUAAAAUCCGUAGAGAUCAGAAGGAAUACCGAUUGCGAAGGCGAUCUACUAGAACAUUAUUGACGCUGAGACGCGAAAGCGUGGGGAGCAAACAGGAUUAGAUACCCGGGUAGUC